AGAGCGCAGCGAAUGCGAUACGUGGUGCGAAUUGCAGAAUCCCGCGAAC
rnacentral:rRNA from 1 species